rnacentral:rRNA from 1 species
CAGUCGCCGCGGGAAAACGAAGGGGGCUAGCGUUGUUCGGAAUUACUGGCGUAAAGCGCACGUAGGCGGAUAUUUAAGUCAGGGGUGAAAUCCCGCAGCUCAACUGCGGAACUGCCUUUGAUACUGGGUAUCUUGAGUAUGGAAGAGGUUAGUGGAAUUGCGAGUGUAGAGGUGAAAUUCGUAGAUAUUCGCAGGAACACCAGUGGCGAAGGCGGCUAACUGGUCCAUAACUGACGCUGAGGUGCGAAAGCGUGGGGAGCAAACAGGAUUAGAUACCCCCGUAGUCCCUGUCUCUUAUACA